rnacentral:rRNA from 1 species
CUCUAUGUGAGAUCAAUAGCUGACCGUACCGUAAACGGACACACGUGGGCGAGGAGAGCAUCCUAAGGUGCUUGGGAGAAUCACGGUUAAGGAACUCGGCAAAAUAGCCCCGUAACUUCGGGAGAAGGGGUGCCAGCUCUGAAGAGAGCUGGUCGCAGUGACAAGAGGACUCCGACUGUUUAAUAAAAACAUAGGCGACUGCUAGAUCGAAAGGUUGUGUAUAGUCGCUGAAUCCUGCUCAGUGCCGGUAUCUGAAAUCGGGGUUCAACCUGACGAAGGACCGGUAAACAGCGGGGGUAACUAUGACCCUCUUAAGGUAACGUAAUACCUUGUCGCUUAAUUGGCGACUUGCAUGAAUGGUCCAACGAGGGCCCCACUGUCCCCGCGGUAUGUCCGGCGAAAUUGACAUUACUGGCGCACAGUCCAGUACCGUCAACCUGCAAGCGAAGACCCCGUAGAGCUUUACUGCAGCCUGGCGUUGUAUAAUCGCACUUCACGUGCUGAGUAGACGGGAGACGUUGAUCCACGGGACGCCAGUCCCGUGAGUAGUCGUCCAUAGAGACACCGUCCUUGGAGUGUAAUUGUACUCACUCUUCAUGAGAACACCGCUUGGUGGGCAGUUUGGGUGGGGCGCCACUCCCUCGAAAAAAUAACAAGGGAGCUCAAAGGUCAGCUUAGGUAGGUCAGAAAUCUACCGUAAAGUGCAAGGGCAAAAGCUGGCUUGACGUGGUUUGGCAACACAACAAACCACGAUGCGAAAGCAGGACCUAGCGAACCAACCAGCCCCGUUAGUAGGGGCGGUUGAUAACAGAAAAGUUACCUCGGGGAUAAUUGAGUUGUCACCAGCAAGAGCACACAUCGACCUGGUGGCUUGCUACUUCGAUGUCGUCUCUUCCCAACCUCCUGGUGCAGCAGCUGGGAAGGGUGGGGUUGUUCGCCCAUUAAAGGGGAUCGUGAGAUGGGUUUAGACCGUCGUGAGACAGGUUUGUUGCUUUGCGGUUGAGGCGUGUAAGAUGCCUGAUCGGAAGGGUCCUUUAGUACGAGAGGAACGAGGACUCGGAGCCACUAGUUUACCAGUUGUCCGGCAGGGCAAUGCUGGGUAGCCACGCUCCAUGUGGAUAAGAGCUGAAAGCAUCUAAGCUCGAAACCCGCCUCAAAACGAGGUAUUAUGACACUUAUAGAAGAUAAGUUAGAUAGGACCGGGGUGUAAGCACCGAGAGCAUCAGUGUUACUGGAAACCACUACUUCGGUAGAGGUGAAAGGUGAC